rnacentral:rRNA from 1 species
UACGACGGGAGCUAGCGUUGCUCGGAAUGACUGGGCGUAAAGGGCGCGUAGGCGGACUGCACAGUCAGGCGUGAAAUUCCUGGGCUUAACCUGGGGACUGCGUCUGAGACGUGUGAUCUAGAGUGAGGAAGAGGGUCGUUGAAUUUCCAGUGUAGAGGUGAAAUUCGUAGAUAUUGGAAAGAACACCGGUGGCGAAGGCGGCGACCUGGUCCUUGACUGACGCUGAGGCGCGAAAGCGUGGGGAGCAAAUAGG